rnacentral:snRNA from 1 species
AGCAAACACAGCUCUUUUGGAAUUAUUCUAGCACAAUUUCUGGUUUGGGUUAGAAAACCCAU